rnacentral:rRNA from 1 species
ACGAACGCUGGCGGCGUGCUUAACACAUGCCAGUCGCACGGUGAAGCUCCAGCUUGCUGGAGUGGAUCAGUGGCGAACGGGUGAGUAACACGUGAGCAACCUGCCCCAGACUCUGGAAUAAGCGCUGGAAACGGCGUCUAAUACUGGAUACGAGAUCAAGCCGCAUGGUUAUGGUCUGGAAAGUUUUUCGGUUUGGGAUGGGCUCGCGGCCUAUCAGCUUGUUGGUGAGGUAAUGGCUCACCAAGGCGACGACGGGUAGCCGGCCUGAGAGGGCGACCGGCCACACUGGGACUGAGACACGGCCCAGACUCCUACGGGAGGCAGCAGUGGGGAAUAUUGCACAAUGGGCGAAAGCCUGAUGCAGCGACGCCGCGUGAGGGAUGACGGCCUUCGGGUUGUAAACCUCUUUCAGCAGGGAAGAAGCGAAAGUGACGGUACCUGCAGAAGAAGCACCGGCUAACUACGUG